rnacentral:misc_RNA from 1 species
ACAGCGGGCGGGGGGCUGUGC